rnacentral:rRNA from 1 species
GACGAACGCUGGCGGCGUGCUUAACACAUGCAAGUCGAACGAAAAGACGGAAAGAGCUUGCUCUUUUCAGAAUUGAGUGGCAAACGGGUGAGUAACACGUAAACAACCUGCCUUCAGGAUGGGGACAACAGACGGAAACGACUGCUAAUACCGAAUAAGUUCCAAGAGCCGCAUGGCCCAUGGAAGAAAGGGUGGCCUCUACCUGUAAGCUAUCGCCUGAAGAGGGGUUUGCGUCUGAUUAGCUGGUUGGAGGGGUAACGGCCCACCAAGGCGACGAUCAGUAGCCGGUCUGAGAGGAUGAACGGCCACACUGGAACUGAGACACGGUCCAGACUCCUACGGGAGGCAGCAGUGGGGAAUCUUCCGCAAUGGGCGAAAGCCUGACGGAGCAACGCCGCGUGAGUGAUGACGGCCUUCGGGUUGUAAAACUCUGUGAUCCGGGACGAAAAGGCAGAGUGCGAAGAACAAACUGCAUUGACGGUACCGGAAAAGCAAGCCACGGCUAACUACGUGCCAGCAGCCGCGGUAAUACGUAGGUGGCAAGCGUUGUCCGGAAUUAUUGGGCGUAAAGCGCGCGCAGGCGGCUUCCCAAGUCCCUCUUAAAAGUGCGGGGCUUAACCCCGUGAUGGGAAGGAAACUGGGAAGCUGGAGUAUCGGAGAGGAAAGUGGAAUUCCUAGUGUAGCGGUGAAAUGCGUAGAGAUUAGGAAGAACACCGGUGGCGAAGGCGACUUUCUGGACGAAAACUGACGCUGAGGCGCGAAAGCGUGGGGAGCAAACAGG